CAUUAACUCUGAAUUUUUAAGGUUAGGGUUAAGUUCAGAAAUCACUUUCUAUCGCCGGAUAUGAACUUGCAACCUUUGGAAUCAGAGGCAGAUGCUUCCACCCAUCCGCCAUCCCUUUCCACAACGAAACCUACUUGAAAGUUAACAGCGCUCACGGUCGCCCCCUAGUGGUCUGUUUCCACGUCAUCUCCUGACGUCCUUCGACACGGAUGGACGUCGAAUACUGACUUGUGUCACGUGUGACCUGGCUGGAUUCAUCAGGAGUCUAUUUACUGUAUCGCAUUGAUUCAUCAGGAGUCUAUUUACUGUAUAUCAUUGAUUCAUCGGGAGUCUAUUUACUGUAUAUCAUUGAUUCAUCGGGAGUCUAUUUACUGUAUAUCAUUGAUUCAUCAGGAGUCUAUUUACUGUAUAGCAUUGAUUCAUCAGGAGUCUAUUUACUGUAUAUUAUUGAUUCAUUAGGAGUCUAUUUACUGUAUAUCAUUGAUUCAUCAGGAGUCUAUUUACUGUAUAGCAUUGAUUCAUCAGGAGUCUAUUUACUGUAUAUUAUUGAUUCAUUAGGAGUCUAUUUACUGUAUAUCAUUGAUUCAUCAGGAGUCUAUUUACUGUAUAUCAUUGAUUCAUCAGGAGUCUAUUUACUGUAUAUCAUUGAUUCAUCAGGAGUCUAUUUACUGUAUCGCAUUGAUUCAUCAGGAGUCUAUUUACUGUAUCGCAUUGAUUCAUCGGGAGUCUAUUUACUGUAUAUCAUUGAUUCAUCGGGAGUCUAUUUACUGUAUAGCAUUGAUUCAUCAGGAGUCUACUUUCUGUAUAUCAUUGAUUCAUCAGGAGUCUACUUUCUGUAUAUCAUUGAUCAUAUAUAUACUAUUCAAUGGUUUCUCUAGUUACCUGAUCGCUCUAAAGCUAAACUUACUGCCAACUGCUAUAGCGGAGGAUUAGAAUAAUGUUUGGAUUGAUUAGCUACGGUAUAUAUUGGUAGAAGAUGUGUUUCCUGUGAUGUGGCUGAUUGAUUAGCUACGGUAUAUAUUGGUAGAAGAUGUGGCUGAUUGAUUAGCUACGGUAUAUAUUGGUAGAAGAUGUGUUUCCUGUGAUGUGGCUGAUUGAUUAGCUACGGUAUAUAUUGGUAGAAGAUGUGGCUGAUUGAUUAGCUACGGUAUAUAUUGGUAGAAGAUGUGGCUGAUUGAUUCGCUACGGUAUAUAUUGGUAGAAGAUGUGGCUGAUUGAUUAGCUACGGCAUAUAUUGGUAGAAGAUGUGGCUGAUUGAUUCGCUACGGCAUAUAUUGGUAGAAGAUGUGGCUGAUUGAUUAGCUACGGUAUAUAUUGGUAGAAGAUGUGUUUCCUGUGAUGUGGCUGAUUGAUUAGCUACGGUAUAUAUUGGUAGAAGAUGUGGCUGAUUGAUUAGCUACGGUAUAUAUUGGUAGAAGAUGUGUCUGAUUGAUUAGCUACGGUAUAUAUUGGUAGAAGAUGUGGCUGAUUGAUUAGCUACGGUAUAUAUUGGUAGAAGAUGUGGCUGAUUGAUUAGCUACGGUAUAUAUUGGUAGAAGAUGUGGCUGAUUGAUUAGCUACGGUAUAUACUGGUAGAAGAUGUGUUUCCUGUGAUGUGUCUGAUUGAUUAGCUACGGUAUAUAUUGGUAGAAGAUCUGAUUGAUUAGCUACGGUAUAUACUGGUAGAAGAUGUGUCUGAUUGAUUAGCUACGGUAUAUAUUGGUAGAAGAUGUGUCUGAUUGAUUAGCUACGGUAUAUACUGGUAGAAGAUGUGGCUGAUUGAUUAGCUACGGUAUAUAUUGGUAGAAGGAUGUGGCUGAUUGAUUAGCUACGGUAUAUAUUGGUAGAAGAUGUGGCUGAUUGAUUAGCUACGGUAUAUAUUGGUAGAAGAUGUGGCUGAUUGAUUAGCUACGGUAUAUACUGGUAGAAGAUGUGGCUGAUUGAUUAGCUACGGUAUAUAUUGGUAGAAGAUGUGGCUGAUUGAUUCGCUACGGCAUAUAUUGGUAGAAGAUGUGGCUGAUUGAUUAGCUACGGCAUAUAUUGGUAGAAGAUGUGGCUGAUUGAUUAGCUACGGCAUAUAUUGGUAGAAGAUGUGGCUGAUUGAUUAGCUACGGUAUAUAUUGGUAGAAGAUGUGGCUGAUUGAUUAGCUACGGUAUAUAUUGGUAGAAGAUGUGGCUGAUUGAUUAGCUACGGUAUAUACUGGUAGAAGAUGUGUUUCCUGUGAUGUGGCUGAUUGAUUAGCUACGGUAUAUAUUGGUAGAAGAUGUGGCUGAUUGAUUAGCUACGGUAUAUACUGGUAGAAGAUGUGUUUCCUGUGAUGUGUCUGAUUGAUUAGCUACGGUAUAUAUUGGUAGAAGAUGUGGCUGAUUGAUUAGCUACGGUAUAUAUUGGUAGAAGAUGUGUCUGAUUGAUUAGCUACGGUAUAUACUGGUAGAAGAUGUGUCUGAUUGAUUAGCUACGGUAUAUACUGGUAGAAGAUGUGUCUGAUUGAUUAGCUACGGUAUAUAUUGGUAGAAGAUGUGGCUGAUUGAUUAGCUACGGUAUAUACUGGUAGAAGAUGUGGCUGAUUGAUUAGCUACGGUAUAUAUUGGUAGAAGAUGUGGCUGAUUGAUUAGCUACGGUAUAUAUUGGUAGAAGAUGUGGCUGAUUGAUUAGCUACGGUAUAUAUCGGUAGAAGAUGUGUCUGAUUGAUUAGCUACAGUAUAUAUUGGUAGAAGAUGUGGCUGAUUGGUUAGCUACGGUAUAUAUUGGUAGAAGAUGUGGCUGAUUGAUUAGCUACGGUAUAUACUGGUAGAAGAUGUGGCUGAUUGAUUAGCUACGGUAUAUAUUGGUAGAAGAUGUGGCUGAUUGAUUAGCUACGGUAUAUAUUGGUAGAAGAUGUGGCUGAUUGAUUAGCUACGGUAUAUACUGGUAGAAGAUGUGUCUGAUUGAUUAGCUACGGUAUAUACUGGUAGAAGAUGUGUCUGAUUGAUUAGCUACGGUAUAUACUGGUAGAAGAUGUGGCUGAUUGAUUAGCUACAGUAUAUAUUGGUAGAAGAUGUGGCUGAUUGAUUAGCUACGGUAUAUAUUGGUAGAAGAUGUGGCUGAUUGAUUAGCUACGGUAUAUACUGGUAGAAGAUGUGUCUGAUUGAUUAGCUACGGUAUAUAUUGGUAGAAGAAAUGGCUGAUUGAUUAGCUACGGUAUAUACUGGUAGAAGAUGUGUCUGACUGAUUAGCUAUGGUAUAUACUGGUAGAAGAUGUGUCUGAUUGAUUAGCUACGGUAUAUAUUGGUAGAAGAUGUGUCUGAUUGAUUAGCUACGGUAUAUAUUGGUAGAAGAUGUGUUUCCUAAGAUGUGUCUGAUUGAUUAGCUACGGUAUAUACUGGUAGAAGAUGUGGCUGAUUGAUUAGCUAUGGUAUAUAUUGGUAGAAGAUGUGGCU
rnacentral:lncRNA from 1 species